GACGAACGCUGGCGGCGUGCUUAACACAUGCAAGUCGAACGGAAGGGCCCUGCUUUUGUGGGGUGCUCGAGUGGCGAACGGGUGAGUAACACGUGAGUAACCUGCCCUUGACUUUGGGAUAACUUCAGGAAACUGGGGCUAAUACCGGAUAGGAGCUCCUGCUGCAUGGUGGGGGUUGGAAAGUUUCGGCGGUUGGGGAUGGACUCGCGGCUUAUCAGCUUGUUGGUGGGGUAGUGGCUUACCAAGGCUUUGACGGGUAGCCGGCCUGAGAGGGUGACCGGCCACAUUGGGACUGAGAUACGGCCCAGACUCCUACGGGAGGCAGCAGUGGGGAAUAUUGCACAAUGGGCGGAAGCCUGAUGCAGCAACGCCGCGUGCGGGAUGACGGCCUUCGGGUUGUAAACCGCUUUCGCCUGUGACGAAGCGUGAGUGACGGUAAUGGGUAAAGAAGUACCGGCUAACUACGUG
rnacentral:rRNA from 1 species